AUCCAACUGACGAGACCUAAAUAGGAUGAAACGCGCGUCCUGAAU
rfam:Schistosoma rodhaini strain Burundi genome assembly, scaffold: SROB_scaffold0000060